AAAUUGAAGAGUUUGAUCAUGGCUCAGAUUGAACGCUGGCGGCAGGCCUAACACAUGCAAGUCGAGCGGAAACGAGUUAACUGAACCUUCGGGGGACGUUAACGGCGUCGAGCGGCGGACGGGUGAGUAAUGCCUAGGUAAUUGCCCUGAUGUGGGGGAUAACCAUUGGAAACGAUGGCUAAUACCGCAUGAUGCCUACGGGCCAAAGAGGGGGACCUUCGGGCCUCUCGCGUCAGGAUAUGCCUAGGUGGGAUUAGCUAGUUGGUGAGGUAAGGGCUCACCAAGGCGACGAUCCCUAGCUGGUCUGAGAGGAUGAUCAGCCACACUGGAACUGAGACACGGUCCAGACUCCUACGGGAGGCAGCAGUGGGGAAUAUUGCACAAUGGGCGCAAGCCUGAUGCAGCCAUGCCGCGUGUGUGAAGAAGGCCUUCGGGUUGUAAAGCACUUUCAGUCGUGAGGAAGGUAGUGUGUUUAAUAGAUGCAUUAUUUGACGUUAGCGACAGAAGAAGCACCGGCUAACUCCGUGCCAGCAGCCGCGGUAAUACGGAGGGUGCGAGCGUUAAUCGGAAUUACUGGGCGUAAAGCGCAUGCAGGUGGUUUGUUAAGUCAGAUGUGAAAGCCCGGGGCUCAACCUCGGAAUAGCAUUUGAAACUGGCAGACUAGAGUACUGUAGAGGGGGGUAGAAUUUCAGGUGUAGCGGUGAAAUGCGUAGAGAUCUGAAGGAAUACCGGUGGCGAAGGCGGCCCCCUGGACAGAUACUGACACUCAGAUGCGAAAGCGUGGGGAGCAAACAGGAUUAGAUACCCUGGUAGUCCACGCCGUAAACGAUGUCUACUUGGAGGUUGUGGCCUUGAGCCGUGGCUUUCGGAGCUAACGCGUUAAGUAGACCGCCUGGGGAGUACGGUCGCAAGAUUAAAACUCAAAUGAAUUGACGGGGGCCCGCACAAGCGGUGGAGCAUGUGGUUUAAUUCGAUGCAACGCGAAGAACCUUACCUACUCUUGACAUCCAGAGAACUUUUCAGAGAUGAAUUGGUGCCUUCGGGAACUCUGAGACAGGUGCUGCAUGGCUGUCGUCAGCUCGUGUUGUGAAAUGUUGGGUUAAGUCCCGCAACGAGCGCAACCCUUAUCCUUGUUUGCCAGCGAGUAAUGUCGGGAACUCCAGGGAGACUGCCGGUGAUAAACCGGAGGAAGGUGGGGACGACGUCAAGUCAUCAUGGCCCUUACGAGUAGGGCUACACACGUGCUACAAUGGCGCAUACAGAGGGCGGCCAACUUGCGAAAGUGAGCGAAUCCCAAAAAGUGCGUCGUAGUCCGGAUUGGAGUCUGCAACUCGACUCCAUGAAGUCGGAAUCGCUAGUAAUCGUGGAUCAGAAUGCCACGGUGAAUACGUUCCCGGGCCUUGUACACACCGCCCGUCACACCAUGGGAGUGGGCUGCAAAAGAAGUAGGUAGUUUAACCUUCGGGGGGACGCUUACCACUUUGUGGUUCAUGACUGGGGUGAAGUCGUAACAAGGUAGCGCUAGGGGAACCUGGCGCUGGAUCACCUCCUUAUACGAUGAU
rnacentral:rRNA from 1 species